UGGGGAAUAUUGCACAAUGGGGGAAACCCUGAUGCAGCGACGCCGCGUGAAGGAGAAGUAUCUCGGUAUGUAAACUUCUAUCAGCAGGGAAGAUAGUGACGGUACCUGACU
rnacentral:rRNA from 1 species